AAAGGGAGACCUAAUUCAGGUAUGGGACGAAAAAAAAGUAGUCGCUACCAAGAAUCAAUCCCAAAAGGUCGGAGCGAGGCGAAAUUGGCUUUCAAACUAGGUUCUGGGUUCAAACAAGACCUGAAUCAGGAACAAGGGCUAUUAGCUCAGGUGGUUAGAGCGCACCCCUGAUAAGGGUGAGGUCCCUGGUUCGAGUCCAGGAUGGCCCACCUGCACAGGUGGCAAAAACAAAGAAGCGAGGAAUCAGCACCUUAUCUUAUAUACAUAUAUAAGAGAGAAUGCUGGCUCUGAGUAAAGAGUCCAGAGGAACCUUGAAAACUGCAUAGAGCUAGGUGAAAAAGCCAAAAAAGAAGACCGCAAG
rnacentral:tRNA from 1 species